AGGCAAAAAUAAAGAACAAAUCUUUACACACAAACCCCAAAACCCUCUUUCUUUUUCAAUAAACAAUUGAUAUUAAGAGCAAAAAAAAUCCAUGUGAUUGAAGGAAAGGAAAAGCAGAGGCCUUCAGAAAGUUUCCCCAACUUCACACUCAGAACAGAACAAACACACAGAUUGCAGGCUCUAGGGUUUGUUUCUUUCAAAUGGGUCUGAAGAGAAGGAACUGUAGAAGAUAAGCAAAGCACGCCAAGAAAGAAAGAAGAUGAAAAGCAAAACAAAACCCCAUCUCAUUUUCUUGAGAUAUAUCUUUGAUGUGUCCUCUAUCCUGAACAACGUUCCAAGCAAAGCUAGCUGGCCAAAUGAAUCCGUACAAUGAUUGUCUUCAACUGUUUCGGAAUGGUGUUACUGCUAUUCCAAAGAUUGGCUCGUAUGCUUUGCCUACUUAUUCCAUGUUGGAAGAUACCAACCCAACUUUAUGGAGAGGAGAAGAAUCGCACCACCCCAACCUAGUUGGAUGGUCCAAAGGCAGCUGCAAAAGAAUAAAGAUAACUUAUUAUAUGGAAAUCUCUGGAGCCAGUGAGCUUUGAAUUCUGAGUUGUUUGCUUUGUUUUCCUCUAAGAUCUAUGCUAGUGAAGUUAAAGAAUUCGAAAAGGCUAGUACUAGGGGAAUAUCCAAAGGGAUAGUUUUCUUGUAUCUUUAAGCUUGAGAGAGAGAUCAUGUUAGACUUAUUUACAAUAAUAGAAAAUUUCAAGGAUCUGCUGAGUCCAUUAGGUCUGCUUGUUGUGUCCUUUGAUACAAUCCUGUUAUCUUGUGUAACAUCCCGCCCAUUUUUUAUUUAAUAAUAAUGUAAUUUUCAGUAA